CCUACGGGAGGCAGCAGUGGGGAAUAUUGGACAAUGGGCGCAAGCCUGAUCCAGCAAUGCCGCGUGAGUGAUGAAGGCCUUAGGGUCGUAAAGCUCUUUUACCAGGGAUGAUAAUGACAGUACCUGGAGAAUAAGCUCCGGCUAACUCCGUGCCAGCAGCCGCGGUAAUACGGAGGGAGCUAGCGUUGUUCGGAAUUACUGGGCGUAAAGCGUACGUAGGCGGUUAUUCAAGUCAGAGGUGAAAGCCCGGGGCUCAACCCCGGAACGGCCUUUGAAACUAGGUAGCUAGAAUCUUGGAGAGGUCAGUGGAAUUCCGAGUGUAGAGGUGAAAUUCGUAGAUAUUCGGAAGAACACCAGUGGCGAAGGCGACUGACUGGACAAGUAUUGACGCUGAGGUACGAAAGCGUGGGGAGCAAACAGGAUUAGAUACCCUGGUAGUCCACGCCGUAAACGAUGAUAACUAGCUGUUCGGGCACUUGGUGCUUGAGUGGCGCNGCUACGCAUUAAGUUAUCCGCCGUCGGGAGGUACGGUCGCGAGAAUUAAACUACAAUAGAAGUUAGACGGCGUGAGACGUGCCGAACGGACGACGACGAGGGAGGUAGG
rnacentral:rRNA from 1 species